rnacentral:rRNA from 1 species
GAGUCAUUGGGACUCUACUAAACCUAAAGGCGCAAUGAAAGUAAAAGUCCGCCUCGCGCGGACCGAGGGAGGAUGGGACCGUCCUAGGGCGGACCCCGCACUCCCGGGGCGUCUCGUUCUCAAUGCGAGAAGAGGCGCACCCAGAGCGUACACGCUGGGACCCGAAAGAUGGUGAACUAUGCCUGGUCAGGACGAAGUCAGGGGAAACCCUGAUGGAGGUCCGUAGCGAUUCUGACGUGCAAAUCGAUCGUCGGAACUGGGUAUAGGGGCGAAAGACUAAUCGAACCUUCUAGUAGCUGGUUCCCUCCGAAGUUUCCCUCAGGAUAGCUGGCGCUCGCCUUUGCGAGUCUCAUUCGGUAAAGCGAAUGAUUAGAGGCAUUGGGGUCGAAACGGCCUCAACCUAUUCUCAAACUUUAAAUGGGUGAGAUCUCCGGCUUGCUUGAAGCGUGAAGCCGCGAGAAAUCGGAUCAGAGUGCCAAGUGGGCCACUUUUGGUAAGCAGAACUGGCGCUGUGGGAUGAACCAAACGCCGAGUUAAAGCGCCAAAAUCGACGCUUAUGGGAUACCAUGAAAGGCGUUGGUAACUUAAGACAGCAGGACGGUGG